rnacentral:rRNA from 1 species
UACGUAGGGGGCUAGCGUUGUCCGGAUUUAUUGGGCGUAAAGAGCGUGUAGGCGGCCUUACAGGUCAGCUGUGAAAACUCGAGGCUCAACCUCGAGACGUCGGUUGAAACCGUAGGGCUAGAGUCCGGAAGAGGAGAGUGGAAUUCCCGGUGUAGCGGUGAAAUGCGCAGAUAUCGGGAAGAACACCCGUGGCGAAGGCGGCUCUCUGGGACGGUACUGACGCUGAGACGGCGAAAGCGUGGGGAGCGAACAGG